rnacentral:misc_RNA from 1 species
GAUGAAGAACGUAAUGAAAUGCGAUAAUUAAUGUGAAUUGCAGAAUUCCGUGAAUCAUCGAGUCUUUGAACGCACAUUGCGCCUCAUGGCAUUCCGUGAGGCAUGCCCAUCUCAGCGUUAGAAAAUAUUCUCAAAUUUUAGUUUUGUGCUAAAAUUUGGAUCAUGUCAAGGAAGCUAUUACUAUUAUUGUGAUCGCUCUUUGGAAAUUGAUAGGUCUUUGAGUUGCUACUCAUAGAACGUGAUGAAUCUUUCUUCGUUCUAUUGUAAUUCACUCUGGUAGUCCUAAAACUUGUAUGCCUGUGGCAUAUCUUGUAAUUUGACCUGAGAUUGGGUAGGGAUACCCGCUGAACUUAAGCAUAUCAAUAAGCGGAGGA